GAUGAAGAACGUAGCGAAAUGCGAUAAGUAAUGUGAAUUGCAGAAUUCAGUGAAUCAUCGAAUCUUUGAACGCACAUUGCGCCCGCCAGUAUUCUGGCGGACAUGCCUGUUCGAGCGUCAUUACAACCCUCAGGCCCCCGGGCCUGGCGUUGGGGAUCGGCGGAGCCCCCCGUGGGCACACGCCGUCCCCCAAAUACAGUGGCGGUCCCGCCGCAGCUUCCAUCGCGUAGUAGCUAACACCUCGCGACUGGAGAGCGGCGCGGCCACGCCGUAAAACACCCAACUCUUCUGAAGUUGACCUCGAAUCAGGUAGGAAUACCCGCUGAACUUAAGCAUAUCAAUAAGCGGAGGA
rnacentral:misc_RNA from 1 species